rnacentral:rRNA from 1 species
UUUUGACCUCGGAUCAAGUAGGGAUACCCGCUGAACUUAAGCAUAUCAAAAGGCAGGAGGAAAGGGAUACCCGCUGAACUUAAGCAUAUCAAUAAGGCGGA